UGAUGCACUGCCCACAGAAGGCUAUGUGGGGUCUACAGAAUAGAUUGGUCUGGGGCAGGCAGACUGUAAGGAAGAGGAGGAAGCUGUAGAGGGUGCAGAGUUCGUGGCCACCAGCAUGAACAGUGUGAGCGAGGCUGUCCAAGUUCCCUGGGGCAGGUGAGACCAGCAUGACAAAGGCGGGAGCCUCUCUGCUCUUCUUCCCGUGCUAGACGCACCAUGGCAGGCUUUGCCCACGCAGAGGGACAUAGGACCAAGUCGUACAGAAAAACUUACAGCUUCCAUGUUUCUUCAAACUGCAAGAAUGGAGAAGGGAAUCUGUCUUCAGCUCCAGUUUCAAUCAGAAAUUCUACUUCUCUGAGAUUACCAAAAACCUUCAGUGUCUCCCUUAGGUGGGUCACUUCACCCUUGAAAAGCCCUGUUCAUGCCCUUCCCAUUCUUCAGUAAUGUGAAAGGGUCGCUGAAAUCCAGGGCACCGACAACACCAGUGCCCGUGAGAACGUGGAACGCAGGACCACUCACGCUUCCGUGGGAGGGACUGCAAAAUGCUGCGGCCAUGGUGGAAGACCAAGCUGUGUUUUGUGCUUUAUAAAAUUAAACACACUCAGCAUAUGA